GUUACCGAAAGGAGCGCUAAUACCGCAAUAAGACCACGCUCUCGAAAGGGAGCGAGGUAAAAGUAGGCCUCUGAAUUCACGCUUACACUCGAGGAUGAGCCCGCGGCCCAUCAUGGUAGUUGGUAGGGUAAUGGCCUACCAAGCCGAAGACGGGUAGCUGGUCUUAGAGGAUGAUCAGCCACACUGGAACUGAGACACCGGUCCAGACUCCUACGGGAGGCAGCAGUGGGGAAUCUUGCGCAAUGGGCGAAAGCCUGACGCAGCGACGCCGCGUGGGUGAUGAAGGCCUUCGGGUCGUAAAGCUCUGUGGGGAGAGAAGAAUAAAGCCUGUGAAGAGCAGGCCUUGACGGUAUCUCCUUAGCAAGCACCGGCUAACUCCGUG
rnacentral:rRNA from 1 species